AUUGAACGCUGGCGGCAGGCCUAACACAUGCAAGUCGAGCGGAUGAAGGGAGCUUGCUCCUGGAUUCAGCGGAGGACGGGUGAGUAAUGCCUAGGAAUCUGCCUGGUAGUGGGGGAUAACGUCCGGAAACGGGCGCUAAUACCGCAUACGUCCUGAGGGAGAAAGUGGGGGAUCUUAGGACCUCACGCUAUCAGAUGAGCCUAGGUCGGAUUAGCUAGUUGGUGGGGUAAAGGCCUACCAAGGCGACGAUCCGUAACUGGUCUGAGAGGAUGAUCAGUCACACUGGAACUGAGACACGGUCCCGACUCCUACGUGAGGCAGCAGUGGGGAAUAUUGGACAAUGGGCGGAAGCCUGUUCCAGCCAUGCCGCGUGUGUGAAGAAGGUCUUCGGAUUGUAAAGCACUUUAAGUUGGGAGGAAGGGCAGUAAGUUAAUACCUUGCUGUUUUGACGUUACCAACAGAAUAAGCACCGGCUAACUUCGUG
rnacentral:rRNA from 1 species